rnacentral:ncRNA from 1 species
ACCAUUCUUUCCUUGGAGUUGUGCUACUGUCCGGUGAGUGCACGGCAAGAGCAGUCCUCCUAACCCUAUAUAACACACCUGUCUCAACUAGAGCAUCACUUCACCUUGGUGCAGCUUUUGGAAAA